CUACAGUAGGACCUUGUUGAUUAUGAUUUUAAAUACAACAUUGUGGACUUGUCAAUCCCAAACUCCCAAUCUAUGCCUCACUAACUCCAUGCCAAAAAAUUCCAGCUGAAACACAUCCUUUGUGCCAGGCCUUGUGCAUGCAAUGCCUCUAGUCUUCCUAAAGCCCUUCUAACUCAGGAUUAUGGCAAUUAUUUAGUGCUCACCAGGUACCAGGAAUUUACCUGGUGUGAAGAAACAGAUAAAAGAAACCUUUCUAACCUUAAGAAUCUAUCUCGCAUUCUAAUGAGAGAGAAAAAGAGAGAGAGAGAUGAGAAAACAUUCGCCAUA